AUUGAACGCUGGCGGCAGGCCUAACACAUGCAAGUCGAGCGAGCGGCGGACGGGUGAGCAAUGUAUGGGGAACUGCCCGAUAGAGGGGGAUAACUACUGGAAACGGUGGCUAAUACCGCAUACUAUCGGAUGAACCGAUAUGGGAUUAGCUAGUAGGUGGGGUAAAGGCUUACCUAGGCGACGAUCGCUAGCUGGUCUGAGAGGAUGACCAGCCACACGGGGACUGAGACACGGCCCAGACUCCUACGGGAGGCAGCAGUGGGGAAUAUUGCACAAUGGGCGCAAGCCUGAUGCAGCCAUGCCGCGUGUAUGAAGAAGGCCGUCGGGUUGUAAAGUACUUUCAGUGGGGAAGCGUUACCCACAGAAGAAGCACCGGCUAACUCCGUGCCAGCAGCCGCGGUAAUAC
rnacentral:rRNA from 1 species